AUUGAACGCUGGCGGAAUGCUUUACACAUGCAAGUCGAACGGCAGCACGGGGCAACCUGGUGGCGAGUGGCGAACGGGUGAGUAAUACAUCGGAACGUGCCCAAUCGUGGGGGAUAACGUAGCGAAAGUUACGCUAAUACCGCAUACGAUCUACGGAUGAAAGCGGGGGAUCGCAAGACCUCGCGCGAGUGGAGCGGCCGAUGUCAGAUUAGGUAGUUGGUGGGGUAAAGGCUCACCAAGCCAACGAUCUGUAGCUGGUCUGAGAGGACGACCAGCCACACUGGAACUGAGACACGGCCCAGACUCCUACGGGGGGCAGCAGUGGGGGAUCUUGCACAAUGGGCGAAAGCCUGAUGCAGCGACGCCGCGUGAGCGAAGAAGGCCUUCGGGUUGUAAAGCUCUGUCUGGAGGGACGAACAAAAUAGACGGUACCUCCGGAGGAAGCCACGGCUAACUACGUG
rnacentral:rRNA from 1 species